rnacentral:rRNA from 1 species
GCUCAGGACGAACGCUGGCGGCGUGCCUAACACAUGCAAGUCUAGCGCGAACGGGGGGCAACCCCCUAGUAGAGCGGCGCACGGGUGAGUAACACGUGGGUAAUCUACCCUCGGGUGGGGGAUAACACUCCGAAAGGAGUGCUAAUCCCGCAUGAGACCACGGUGACUGCGGUCACUGAGGCCAAAGGGGGCCGAGCAAUCGGUUCUCGCCUGAGGACAAGCCCGCGUCCCAUUAGCUAGUUGGUGAGGUAAUGGCCCACCAAGGCGACGAUGGGUAGCUGGUCUGAGAGGACGACCAGCCACACUGGGACUGGAACACGGCCCAGACUCCUACGGGAGGCAGCAGUGAGGAAUAUUGCACAAUGGGCGAAAGCCUGAUGCAGCAACGCCGCGUGAGUGAUGAAGGCCUUCGGGUUGUAAAGCUCUGUCGGGUGGGAAGAUGCGGUCCGGCCAAUCCCCGGAUCGUGACGGUACCACCAAAGGAAGCACCGGCUAACUCCGUGCCAGCAGCCGCGGUAAUACGGAGGGUGCGAGCGUUGUCCGGAAUUACUGGGCGUAAAGCACGUGCAGGCGGCUCGUUGUGUCGGGUGUGAAAUCCCGAGGCUUAACCUCGGAACUGCGCCCGAAACUGGCGGGCUUGAGUGCGGAAGGGGGAGGUGGAAUUCCCAGUGUAGAGGUGAAAUUCGUAGAUAUCGGGAAGAAUACCGGUGGCGAAGGCGACCUCCUGGUCCGCUACUGACGCUCAGACGUGAAAGCGUGGGGAGCAAACAGAAUUAGAUACUCUGGUAGUCCACGCCGUAAACUAUGAACACUAGGUGUUGGGGGUGACAAUUCCCUCAGUGCCGUAGCUAACGCGUUAAGUGUUCCGCCUGGGAAGUACGGCCGCAGGGCUAAAACUCAAAU